GACGAAUGCUGGCUGCGUGCUUAACACAUGCAAGUCGAACGGUGAACCAGGGCUUGCCCUGGGGAUCAGUGGCGAACGGGUGAGUAACACGUGGGCAACCUGCCCCUCACUCUGGGAUAACUCCGGGAAACCGGGGCUAAUACCGGAUAUGACCUGGUGCGACAUCACACCAGGUGGAAAGAAUUUCGGUGAGGGAUGGGCCCGCGGCCUAUCAGCUAGUUGGGGGGGUAACGGCCCACCAAGGCGACGACGGGUAGCCGGCCUGAGAGGGCGAGCGGCCACACUGGGACUGAGACACGGCCCAGACUCCUACGGGAGGCAGCAGUGGGGAAUAUUGCGCAAUGGGCGAAAGCCUGACGCAGCGACGCAGCGUGAGGGACGACGGCCUUCGGGUUGUAAACCUCUUUCAGCGGGGACGAAGCGAAAGUGACGGUACCCGCAGAAGAAGCACCGGCUAACUACGUGCCAGCCGCCGCAGUAACAC
rnacentral:rRNA from 1 species